AAGACAACGUUAGCACCUGUCAGCUUUAAUUGUGGAUAAAUCUGGAUCAUUUUGAGCUUUUGUCAAACUGACAAAAACAACUGUCAAACUGACAAAAACAACUGUCACCGAACUGACAGUUCGGUGAACUGUCCACGACCCCUAUGGCACGUCUUCAGACCUCCGCCGACUCUCGAGUGCAGACGCUGUAGAGUCAAGUGCCAUAAAGACCACAUCGAUCGCAAAGAAGAGGUCCUCGCUCCAUGUAGAGUGAAUUACGACAUGUCCACAGCGAAAGAGAUGCUGCUGCUGGCAAACUCCACAGAGGAGCAGAAGAAGUGGGUCAGUCGGCUGCUCAAAAGGGUUCCGCGUAAGCCCUCCAUCGCCCACUCGUCCAGCAUAGCCAUAUCCGCUGCGCCCUCAGAGGCAACACCCACUACCCUUUCCCCUCAGCCGUCGCCUCGCCUCGCUCAGUCUUCACCCAGACUUUCACACCGAGCAGCCGUCAAAGUGCACUCUACACGACAGCAGCCCUCCAGCAAGAACAGCCCUGGCCCAAUGCUCCGUAUCAUUCUUCACUGACCUUUCACCUUCCCUACUCGUGUAAAUGUGUGGACAAUUGCUUGAAAUGGGCCUGAAGGACUGGGGUUGGGCUCUUGAGGUUGAAUUGGAUGAUGACGAUGUUUUAGACUUCUGAAAACUUGAGGUUUUUGAGGGGUGACCAGCGUGUGGCUUGAGGAUGCAUUUAUAUCUCUAACCUUGGUGAAGGCCGGAUAGGUGAUCAUGCAUCUGGGGUCUAUGAAAGCGGAAAAUGUCAUAGUGUUCAUUUGGGCUAAUGGCAGGACUUCCAAGUGCCAAACACCACAAUAUAAAUGACUGGGGAAGGGGACGGUAUAUGAUAUUUAAAUACAGCACAAGCCAUAAAUCACCUAAAGUAUCUAGUUUCAAUUUUAAGUCAUUUUAAGAGUAGAGUGUUUGUGUUUUCCUAUACUAUACAGUUUGACAAAAAGUGUCUUCUAAGCUUUUAAAAAUGUCAGAGGUUAUUUUCGGACUCCUUAUAGGGUUGUUAGUAAGUGUGACUGGAUGUUUAAGUGUGUUUCCAAGAGCAAAUGAAUGAUAAUUACGAGAUCAUCAGGAUUUAUAUAAUCAAGUAUUAUAUCUAUUUUUGUUCAGAAAAACAAAUAUUUAGUGGCACAGAUUAUAUUUUUGUCAUCUUUUAUUUUGAAGAACACCUUCAAUAAGCAUUACGUCUGCUCUAUGUAUUAUUGAAGACUGAUAUCAUGAUGCAAAGAUGCACAUUUUAUUAAAUGCUGUGACAAAUUUGUAUGCAUAGUGGAACAUGAAGACCUACGGUCCAAACAUUUUCUUUAUUUUAUUAUUUUGUGAAAUUGUUUAUAAAAAAGCUUUAUUUGAUUGAA